UUCCUCUCCUUGGCUGUUGAGUCUUGGGUUUCCACUUGUUAAGGCUGGGCUUGUUUAACUCCUCUGAUUCUCCUCGCAUCAAGAAGACAGUUUCUUACUGUAGCAAGCUGCACCCACCAUGAGCCACAUGGGAAGGGCUGAGAAAGGCCACUUUUGACAGCCUCCUAUUGAAGCAUGCAGCAAAGGGAGACAGGGAGGAAUAGAUUCAGACGGAAUUGCCUUAAACUCCUCCAUGCAUAUUUAUAUUUGAAAAAAAGUGCUUGGAACUAAAAGUCAAGAAACCUAUUUUCUACUAUAAAAUUUUAUUUAUUUUCUGUGACUUUAGGUAAGUCAGCAAUCCCUUUAAAUGAAAAAUGUUUGGGUACAAGCAAUUUUCCAGUCUUGACCCUUUAUCUGUUGACCAAGCUAAGGCAGAAACCAGCUAAAUUCUGGAUUUAAUCUUGAGCAGCAAAAAAGAUCAGCUUUUGAAGUGGAUCUGCUUUUAUUCUUGGCAAAAGUUCAGCGGAGACCAACCAGAGUGGUGACAAAGUUCUUCAACAUCAAGCCAAAUGUAAUACAAGGAAUUACGGAUAGUGCUUAAUCUAAAAUAAAGAAAUUCCACAUAGAACUUUAAACUUUACUAAAUUCACAGGGAAGGGAGAUAGAGAAGGAGACAUAGAUGUUAAAAAAAAAAAGAAAACUUUUUUAUUUUGCAUUCACACCACUACUAACACCAAAUGUCUGGAGUUUUUAUACAGGAAGCAUUUCUCCAAUUUUCCUAACACCAACCGGGUAUUUUACAAUUUAAUUCAAUUCUGACAUGAUCUACCUGAAGUUGUGGUCAGAUCCCACAAGUUAAGGGGUCAAUUUCAUUAGACUGCCCCCAUUUCAGAUGUCAAUCACAAAUCUGGGCUUCCAGUACUUUUGACCAACUGGCUGUAAAUUGGGGAUUUCCAUGAUCCCUUCCCUUGGGUUUAAUAAUUUGCUGGAAUACUUCACAGAAUUAAAAAAAAAACUUACAUUUACUAGUUUAUUACAACUGAGGAAAUGCCUGAACUACAGUCCUAUUUUUGCAUACUAAGUUCUCUUACCCUCUAUUUAUCUCUGCCUCCUUCACAAAUAGGGUCUCAUUAUGUGUUCUCUGAAACUUCCUUACAUUUGUCAUUCCAUUGAUGUAAACG
rnacentral:lncRNA from 1 species